rnacentral:rRNA from 1 species
AUUGAACGCUGGCGGUAGGCCUAACACAUGCAAGUCGAACGAGAGGAGGACGGGUGAGUAAUGUCUGGGAAACUGCCUGAUGGAGGGGGAUAACUACUGGAAAAGGUAGCUAAUACCGCAUACCAUCAGAUGUGCCCAGAUGGGAUUAGCUAGUUGGUGGGGUAACGGCUAACCAGGGCGACGAUCCCUAGCGGGUCUGAGAGGCUGACCAGCCACACUGGAACUGAGACACGGUCCAGACUCCGACGGGAGUCAGCAGUGGGGAAUCUUGGACAAUGGGCGCAAGCCUGAUGCAGCCAUGCCGCGUGUAUGAAGAAGGGCUUCGGGUUGUAAAUUACUUUUGGCGGGGAGGCGUUACCCGAAGAAGAAGCAACGGCUAACUCCGUGCCAGCAGCCGCGGUAAUAC